UCCUCCUGGGGCCUACCAGUGUGGAAACCCCUUCCACUAUCAGUGGGGGAGUACGUCCACAAGGAAGGACAAAAACGCCAGGAAGUCGCUGUUGGAUGUCCUCUCCAGCAUCAGCGGACGGAACAUCAAGUCUAUCUGCAGUGAUACUGUAGUGCGAAGUGCGUUGGAUGCUCUCAGUCAAGCCGUCACUCGUCCUAUGCAGCUGAACAGUUCUGAAUUUUUCUGCACCAUGCCCAUGAAUGCAUGGCGCAAUAUGGUGGCCUUGAAGGCAUUACACGGAAGUUCCUCACAAGGAAUAUGACAGUUCAUAAUGACACCACAUGGGAAAUUGUGUGCUUGUAAUUCUUCAAUCUUGAUAUCACUGAUGCCAUGCGGCCAGAACUUCUGGUAUAUUCAUUCAUGAAUUAUAGCAUUAUGCUUCUUGUCCGAGUGCUGCUGCUGCUGCGCUCCAUCUCUUUCUCUGUCUUGCCACUUCUUGUUUCCUGCAUUAGUAGGCGCGACUAUUACUGCUGCUGCUGCUGUUGCUGCUGCUGCUGCUGCCGUUGCUGUACGUAGAGUUGUAUCACGUGUUGCUGCUCCAGCUGGUGCUGUUGCUGUACAUGCAAUGGUAUCAGCUGUUGUUGUUCUUGCUGCUGCUGCUGCUCUUGUUCAGGUGGUUGCCCCUUCUCUUUCAAGGUUCUACCGAGAUAACACUGGUCACACAAUGUUUGUUCGUCUUCGUCCAUUGAUUGGCACAUGUGGUGGUAUGGUCGUGCACAUCCACGACAUGUCCUGAGAAGGGGAGGUGGGCCGCCUUUGCAGGCAAUACACACAUUUGUUUGGGUUGGCGCUCCUGCCGCAAGUGGUGGUUGCUGCUGCUGCUGCAGCAGUGGCAUUUCAAUAGCCUCCUGUUGUUGUGGUGGUUGUGUUUGUUGUUGUGGUUGUGGUGGUUGUGUUUGUUGUGGUGGUUGUGUUUGUUGUUGUGGUUGUGUUUGUUGUGGUGGUUGUGUUUGUUGUUGUUGUGGCGGUGGUGGUUGUUGGUGUUGCAGCUGCUGCACUGGUGCCGUGCCAGUGACUGUUGCUGCUGUCGGUUGCUGAAGUGAACCACUCCUUGCAGAA